AAACGUCACUUAAUUGGAGGCAUAAAUUCAGACUCUUGAGUGACCUAGAAAUGUUAUAAAUUUGGACAUUAUAAAAAGCUCGAGAAAUGGAAUGGGAUGACUGGAAUCGCUAGAAAGGCUUGAGAAUUGUAAGAGAAAUCGGAGGAAGAAGUUGGAAACGUUUUUCGGUAUAUUGCUCAAAAUUAAGGGUGCAUGUCUGCAAAUAGCGUGACGACAUCCGGUUAAGACCUAACGGCAACAAAGUGAGUUUUUCGUGUUCUGUGGUUUCUCACACAUAAAUGUUUAUCAUGCGUUUAUUAUGUGGUUUUUAUUUACUUAUUGACAAUAUGUUUUAUGAUAAGUAUGGUUGGGUGCAAAUGUUAUUUUGGAUUUGUUAUCUGUUGUGUGUGUGUUUUUUUGGAUGACGUGUUUAGUGGGAACGGGUGGGUGUUUAAUCGCCGUGAGCAUGACGGAUGUGUGUGAUCGGCGGGGAUAGGAAUUGAGAGUCAUACUCAUUUUCUUGGAUAUUUAAAAUACUUGAGUACAAUGGAUGAUUAGUUGUCUCAAGGAGAAUGGAAAUAAACAUUUGGUUCUUUCUCUGGAUAAUUAAUCGUUCCCCUAAAUUAUGUCAUCGGGUGAUAUGUUUGUUGUAUGAUUUAUUGAAACUAUAUGAUACAACUAUAUGUUUUUUUAA